ACUGAAUCUGAUCCAGGACAGCUUACCUUUGGACACUGACUAGAAACCUGUAUUCCUUAAGUGCCUAAGGUACAAUGUGUUAGGUGCUUCGUAUAACAUGUGGUAAAUAUGAAUAGUGCUCUUGCCCUUAGUAAGCUUGCAAUCUAAAGGAGUGCCCAGACCACAAACAAAUAAUUAUGCUGGAAUUUAAGUUCAACUGUGAAACAUGUUAAAACAGAAAAGUAUAGGAGGAUAUAAGAGAAUAAACUAAGGUUAACUUCAAAGGGAUUAAGAGGGUAAAACAAAGUUUCUCUGGAGAAGGAAUAUGUAUACUAACAUGUUAAGGGUCAUUGGGAGUUAGCCAAAGGUGGAGUUGAAGAAAGAGAAUUUCAGAGAGAGGACAUAUUAUGUAUAAAGGUCUUACAGGAGGAGGAGAAGAUAGUUGCUUUCAAUGCAAUAGUGAAGGCCAGCAUGUUAGGAGCCUGAAAAUUGAGAGAUGAAGAUUGGUUUGCAGAAGAGCAGCCCCCAAAAGAUGCCUAUGCUCUAAUCUCCAGCAUCUGUGGCCAUGCUAACUUUUUGGCAAAGAAACACCGUGCAUGUGAUUAAGUGAAGGUCAAUGUUGGAAUGAGGAGGUUAUCCUGGACUAUUCAAGCAGGCCCUAUGGAAUCACAGAGUCCUUAUACAAGGCAGAAGAGGCAGAGCCAGAGAAGAUGUGACACUGGAAGCAGAUAUCGGAAAGACAUGAUUACUGACUAAAUGCCACAUAGCAAGAAAUAUGGGGCCUCUAGAAACCGAAAAAGGCAUGGUAAUGAAUUCUCCUCUAGAGCCUCCAGAAAGAACACAGCCCUUCCAAUCUUGAUUUUGGCUUUGAGUACCAUUUCAGACGUCUGGGUUCUAGAGCUGUAAGUUAACAAAUUUGUGUUAAGGCACUAGAUUUCUGGUUAUUUUUAUAACAGUGAUAGGAAACUAAUAAGCACGGUUAUGAGAUAAGGAUACAGUGUGGGAAGAGUAAUAAGGAUGUGGACCUAUCCAUAGAGCCCAAGGAAUCCUUUGACAGGUUUGAAGCGGGGAUGACCAUAAUGAGAAGUCUUAUUAAAAAAGGCACUUUGGAGGCUGGACACAGUGGGUCACACCUGUAACCCCAGUGAUUUGGGAGGCCAAGGCAGGGGAAUCACUUGAGGCCAACAGUUCAAGACCAGUCUGGGCAACGUAGCAAGACUCCUUCUCUACAAGACAUUUAAAAAUUAACUGGGGAUGGUGUCUUAUGCUUAUAAUCCCAGUUACUCAGAAGGCUGAGGUGAGAGGAUCACUUGAGCCUGGGAGGUCGAAGCUGUUGUGAGCUAGGAUUGCACCACUGUACUCCAACCUGGAUGACAGAGCAAGACCCUGUCUCCCUCCCCCGAUAAAAAAGAAAUUCUAGAAUGGAUAUAACAUGUAGUAGAAGAGCAUAAGAGUGGAUGACUGGAUCCUGAGAAACCCCUUACAAAGGCAUCAAGGUGGUCCAUGCCAGAAGUGAUGGUAACUUGGUGUGGCAGUGGUGAUAUAGAGAGGUGAUUACAGUUGAGAGCUCUUUUAGGGCUAUAAUUAACUGAAUUUGAAAACCUAAUAUGGAGAGUAAUGGAGAAGGAGGUGUUAUGUCUGGUUUUCAGUUUUCUGGCUUAAGGAAAUAGGUGAAUGGAAAAAGAAAAGAAGAAAGAUAAAAAUAUGGAAGGAGUUUGGAGAACUAAUAAAUAAAAGGUGGCUAGACUUGCUACUUUUGGAAAGAGAGAAAGGUAUUCAGAGCAAGGUCUGGAUGAGAGGCUUAGUGGAGAUGGUGAGAUGAACUUUCUUAAUUUGGACAGAAAUGUGAGACAGUCUCAGAAAAAAAUGUUCAACAGGAACCUAGAUAAAUGGGUCUGGAUGUUAGAAGAUGCAUCAAGUCUGAAGCAUAGGUUUGAAAUAUCUUGGAAAAUGGAUGGCAUUUGAAACCAUGGAAGUAGGUGGCACCACCUAAGUGGGAAAUAUAGAGUGAGAAGAAAAGAAUCCCCAAAUUGAGGAAACCAAAAUUCAUUUAUUUUAUUUUAUUCACUUGUUUUUGAGAUGGAGCCUCACUCUGUCACCCAGGCUGGAGUGUAAUGGCGCGAUCUUGGCUCAGCGCAACCUCUGCCUCUGGGUUUCAAGCAAUUUUCAUGCCUCAGCCACCCAAGUAGCUGGGAUUACAGGUGCUCCUCACCACACCCAACUAAUUUUUGUAUUUUCAGUAGAGACAGGGUUUCACCAUGUUGCCCAGGCUGGUCUCGAACUCCUGACCUCAAGUGAUCCAUCUGCCUCGGCCUCCCAAAGUGCUGGGAUUACAGGCAUGAGCCAUCAUGCCCGGCCUUGAGGACACCAAAAUUUAAGCUCGUGUAGAACUGGGGUAGGUGCAUUGUAGCCCGUCGGCCAAAUCCAGACUGCUGCCUAGUUUAGACGUAAAGAUUUACUGGAAAACAGCAUCAUUCAUCUGUUUACGUAUUAUCUAUGGCUGCUUUUGCCCUACAAUGGAAGAAUUGAGUAGUUCCCACAGAAAUCUUAUGGUGCACAAAGCUUAAAAUAUUUACUAUCUGACUUUUUAAAGAAAAAUUUGUUGACUACUGAUAUAGAUGAGGAAUAAACAGAAAAUUUAAGAAUGCUCAGAUAAUAAAAUAAAACUCUGCUAUUUUACUGGUCUUUAUUUUAGAAUUACUCAUUUCUCAUUCCAUUAUUCUAAAAGCACUUUUUAGAUAUGAAUAUUAUUGGUCACUUUAUUCUAAUUAUUUUAUUACAUGUCUCUUUUCAAUUGAUCAUGAGCUUCUUAGGGCAGAGCUUCCACUUUGUUUCCAUGUGCAUCCACAGCAAGGGUCCCCAACUGGUCCGUGGCCUGUUAGGAUCUGGACUGCACAUCAGGAAGUGAGCCACAGUUGAACAAGUAAAGGCUGUAUUUACAGCCACUCUCCAUUGCUCAUAUUACCACCUGAGCGCUGCCUCCUGUUAGAUCAGCC
rnacentral:lncRNA from 1 species